GUUGUUGUUGUUGUUAUUGUUGUUGCUGCUGUUGUUAUUGUUGAUCCGUUUGUUAUUGUUGUUGUUAUGAACACCAUUUUUAAAGUACUAUAUAUUGAUACAAGCACGGACUUUAGUUUGGCCAAAUGUAAAAAAUUUCUUUUUUCCUUAUUUCUGUCGUUUAUUAAUAAUAUUCGCAUAAAAUUUGCUUGUACAAUUUUGUAUUUAUUUAUAAAGCAUAUUGUAAAUAUGCACAGUAUGAAAAAAUAUUGACAUUUCUUUAAAUGAUGUAAAUGUUAUCUUUGAAAAGACAUAGAGAUAACAUGUAUGUACAUACAUAACGAUUAUGUAUUUUUCAACUUUUUUUCUUCAUUGAUAAAACGAUAAAAGAUAAAAGCGACAGUAUUUUACUGUCUGUGCAACUGUAUGUGUCACUUUGACUGCCUAAUAUGCAACUAAUAUGCAACUAAUAUGCCAAACUAAUGGAGUACCUAUCUGAUUUGUAAAAAGAUGCUACCUAUAUGUUAUUUUAUAACUAAUGCGACGAUAGCAAGAACGGUAAUGAUUACGUCUUGCCAAAGUAAAAAAUAGUUAAUGUUUUGACACGUUCUCACAUCAUUUGCUAGUCUCUACAGUUAGUUAUUAAUAAGUAUACGUAUAAAUGUAUGUUUAUAAAUAUUAAUGGUGUGAUUAGAAGAAAAGUAUCUUUUUGAAUUUUUAACAAUAAUAGUACUAUUACAGUUAAAUUCAUGGAGGAUAAUGCUGAAUAAUGUGUUCAUUCCAGUCGAUACAUCAAAAAUUUACAAAAAUUGACAUACGCUAUCUAUCAUUUUAUAAGAUAUUUGUUAUCAUAAGAUAUAAAAAUGUUUGGUAAAAUUUGUCUUAACGGAAUACGACGACGUAUCUUUGAAUUGUUCAGUUAGAUUUUUCAAACGUGCUAUAAUAUUUCAAGUGAGUAAUCUUAAUGUGAAUUUACGUCAUGCACCGUGCAAUUUUGAUCAUAGAAAGCAGUUAUUUUACACAUUUAUUUAUUUCUUUAACAGCUCGCACAAAAGAUUAGUUUUAAUUUGGUAGAAUGUUUUAUUUAAAGAUAUUAUAUGAAUUCUACAUGAACAUUUACAAAUAAGAAAACGCUAAAUCAGCAUAUAAAAUAUGCACGCCUCGUGUAUUUACAUGACAAGUAUUUACAUACUCGUACAUUUUCAUCUACAAGCUGAGUAUUUAUAAUGCUGCAUAUAUAGUAUAGAUCCUUAGUAUUCAAUUAAAUUAAAAGACAGAUAUUCUAAGUAUUUAAUAAAAAGUGUAUACUGCUUUUUUACACUUUUUUUUCCCUUCAAAAAAAUUUUACUAAGUGAAUGAUUGUACUCUUAAUGUUUCUUUUUUCUUUUCUUUUUUUAUUUAUGACGAUCUUGUAUAACUCAUAACAUUAAUAUGAAAUCUAAUUCUAACACGACACACACACACGAUCUUUAUUUUUAAAUGAUAAUAAAUAUUGAUGAAAUCUGCAUUAUAAGCACACGGUCUAACGAUAUGUAAACAAGUAGAAUUCAACGUUUUUAAUUUUAGUCAAUCUUACGUUACGUACGCCAUUGUUUCAUAUAAAAAUAAGGGAUACUAGUCGGAGGUAUAAGUAAUUAAUAUAUUUAAAAAGUAUUUCGUACAGUAAAGAAGUAUAAAAAAUAUGUAGUACGGAUAAAAUAAGACGCCUUCGAUGCAUUUACAAUAAAAUAUCUACAUGUGUGAUCUAAGUAUAUACACAUACAUAUAAUGUCACGUUCGCAAUGUUAUAAGAAAGAAAAAAAAAGUUAAUUUAAAAAACGUUAAUAAAAAAAAUAAUAUCUACACGUUUUUAUAACGCGACAUCUAUUUCUAUAAUCAACGCUGUUCUAGAGUUUUCUUUUUUUUCGUCAUCUAUAUUGUAAUCUAUUAGUCCUGAUGUCUCAAUCAUCUAAUUGCACACAAUUGACUGUACAUGUAUGAGAGCAUUGCUAUAAAUGCUGUUUUUGUAACUAUUUAGAUUGUGUAUUGUAUCAUAAUUAAUAGCAGCAGCAACAGUAGCAGCAGCAGCAGCAACAGAUCAUCGUUAUUAGGAUCAUCGUCGUCAUCGCUAUCUUAUUAAAUAAAUAUUAUAAUAAAAGCACAUACAGAUGUGUCAAAGCAUACAUAGAUGUAAUACGCGUAAGUUGUAAUUUUUCGAUUAUUUCCACAUUUAUUUUCUAACAGCUCUUAACAAUGAAUGUUCCUCGAAUUCCUCAGAUAAAACUAGAGGAUGUAGGAUGUUAUGAUAAACUUAGUAAAAUUAAUAUUAUCAUAUCUCUGUUUAAGCUGUUUAUAUUUUUAUUAAUAUUGCUGUAAAUUUUUCAUAGUAAUCAAGGACAAAUAACAACAAGGACAACUUAUAAUUUCCCUUCUCGGUCGUUGUUUUAAUGAAUAUCGAAUAAAAGUGUAUAGCGUAUUACUACAUGUAACGUUCAAGUGGAGGAUAUUGUUUGUAAUCGGUAGAAUAAAAAAAUGUGUGUCUUGUGCUGCUUGUGCAUUCCUCGUAUAACAUAUGCAGUAUAUAUUAAUACUUCAACAUUUAUUAAUUUUAUAGUAUUUAUGAGAGAGAAAGAGAGAGAGAGAAAAACACAAGUUCGUAACAUUCAAAAUAAUAACUUUAGUAACUUCAAUGCAAAAUUUUGUACAGUUGAAAAUAAUAACAAAUUUGUUCGUAAUAAAUUUAUUAAGUAGGAAACAUACAUUUAUAUACAUGCAUUACAUACGCAUAUAUGUAUAGGUCAAAAGAUACCAACUGGAUCCAUCAUAGCUCACCGCCAGCUUAGGACGUAUUUAUUAAAGAUUAGUGGACAGUAAGAAAGCAUUGUAAUUACAUAUACGUUUACGGAUAAAUAAACUGAAGAAAACGGAAACGUGUUAAGAGACAAAUAAAAAUAUUCUGUUGAUGUUCAAAAAAGUUUGAUGCAUAUAGAUGCAAAUUUGUAACGCAAAAAGUAAUUUCAAUUUGUGUGACAAUAAUAACAUCGUACAAUAUUACAUAUACGAUGAAUAUAACGACAAAUUUAUAAAUAGACAUUUACGUACAGCCAUGAUCAAUGCAUUCUAAAUUUAUAAUCUUAUAAUGGUUUACGCUAACGAGAAUAAGAUCUACGGGCGUAAUUCUCGACCGACUUCAACAAACGAUCUCUCAUUUUAAAGAUUAAAGUUUAAUCGAUUACAUGGCUUUUUCGAAUUUUUGAAAAAAGCUUUAUUUUCUUUGACAAGAGUCGUAUCGAAAAAUGUUUUUUUUUUCGAGAAUAAUGUAUGCAUAAAAAUAAAGUUUUGUGGGAUCUUUCCGUGUUACACGUAGAGAGAGAGAGAACGCUUCCUUUAUUCUGUAGGGGAAGGAUAGGGAGAAAAAUCGUGCGCGCGCAUCGGCGAGCACAGAAGUCGGUAUUCGUAGAGGCGAUUAUGUCCUACCAUGGACUUCGCUUUAAUGUUCGAAAUUCUGAAAAUACCAACGGUAGUGUUCAAUGGCGAUUAUCGAAGCUUUCGAUGUUGCGACGAUCUUGCUGUCAGCUUCCAAGCGGGAACCGGAUCUUCUCCAAUUAGCAUAUAGUUCCAUCAAAAGAAGAAACGAAGAUGAUUGGAAAAAGGGAAUGUCGGUCGAACCUUUGAAUGAAGGAAGACGGAAAUAAUGACGCUAUGA